rnacentral:rRNA from 1 species
GUCCACGCCGUAACGUUGGGCACUAGGUGUGGGUUCCAACCAACGGAAUCCGUGCCGUCGCUAACGCAUUAAGUGCCCCGCCUGGGAGUACGGCCGCAAGGUUAAACUACAAGGAAUUGACGGGCCCCGCACAAGCAGCGGAGCGUGUUGCUUAAUUCGAUGCGACGCGAAGAACCUUACCUGGGCUUGACAUGCAGGGAAAGCCGUAGAGAUACGGUGUCCUUCGGGGCCUUGCACAGGUGGUGCAUGGCUGUCGU